AGAUCCCAGGCGAUCCAAGGCCAUUUGUUCAGACACAAGCCCUAUCCUCCCCUCCCUCUUGUUUCCCGUCCCUAGGACUCCAGGUUCAAUCACAGGCAGUCUACAAAGCAACCCAUUUAGAAAUAUUGGGAGACUCGGGGAAAAAUAGGUUAUUCUUCCCCUCCCCCUUUAAAAAAAAGCAUUUUCUCACACAUGAUCUGAUCGAGAGCAAACUUAAUUUAAAACGGAAAAAGAGAGAGGCUGGAGCUCCAAAGUACAGACUGGAAAAAGCAUCUUCAGUGAGUGAAACCAGCAUAGCGCUGUGCAAAGAGAACUUAGAGAGAGAGAGAGAGAGAGAGAGAGCGCUCCUUACUACGCUUCGGCAUGUAAAAGGUUUCCUUUCUUUUUUUGGUGGUUACCUGAAGAGAGACAUAUUAAUCCAAAGAGGUAAAAGUGAGCAAACUCCGCGAUCAUUGUCCUCAGGUGGCGCCUGCAAAUAGUCUCAUGCCAAAUGGGAGGGGGGAGGAAUACAAAUUAAAAGCCCCCUCCGAUUGUAAAUCCACAGAAGCUUAAUAUAAGCAAGGUUUCCUAAUCCUCCAGGAGUUAAUAGUGAGUACUCCCCGAAGAAGGUAUUGUCAGCAGCACCCCAAGUCUUGUAACUUCUCUCCCUUGCCCUGGAUUUUCCUAGAAGGGGCUUUGACACUUCCUGGGACCAUCAAAAGCGAAGAAGAAAACAAAAGAUCCGCAAUUUUCUGCAGCUUGGAUUCUCUGUGCCCUGUUCGCAAGCUGCUUCUCCAGCCUGGGACUUCGCCUUCAGCACCCAGGCCACUUGCAAGUAUCCCAACAGAGCACUGCCCCUCCGAGACCAUAAACCACUGCAGCACCCUGGCAGGCGGAGAGAGGAAAAGAAGUGCUUGCUGCGACUUGAGCCACACAAAGUCACUGGACAUCCGAGGCAGGCGCAGGGGUGACGGCUGCUCUGGGUGAGGGCCCCGGCUCGGUGCUUGUGGCAGGCUGGAGGGAAGAGUGAGGUGGAGCAGCAGCAGCCUUUGCUCCCAUCACUUGGGGGGGAAAGCCAGGAGUGGAGGCAGCAGCAGAGCCUUGCAGGAGCCACGCGCAGCAGAAGGGUCACCCCAGCAGCAACUCCUCGCCCUGCCCUGCAUCUCCCCCCUCUGCCCUGCAAGCGGGCAUGCAGACCUCUCCCUUCCCGGAGACGGACACAAAAGAGAGAGGAGAGCACAAAACUUCCAAGGGCCACCGCCCCCAACCCACCCACCCGGCCCCCUAGUGCAGCCGCGGGAGGAGGAGCAGCAGCCGCUCCUUCGCCUCCCUUCCUGCAAGGGUAGGGGUGCAGCAGCAGGAGCAGGCGGGGUCUAGGCACCGCGGCGUCUCCGUGGUGCUCUGAGCAGCGUCUGAAGUUUCUCGUGCCCGCCGUGGGUCCCCCUGGUCCCUGCUCCAGCUGCGGGGCUGAUGCCGCCCGAGGACACCUUAAAGGAGCCGCCCCUAGACAAGCCCCACACGCCUAAGGCGGAGAGGCGCGCGCCGCGUGGCACGGGACCAGGCCGCCCAGGUCUCCCCGCAGCUUGAGAGGUGAAGCCCCAGCGUGUAACGCCACCGAAAGGAGGCUACAGACUUGGCAAAGGAGCUUCAACAUGAAGUUGGUGCCUUGGUCCGUCAGGACUUCCCGGGCGAGGCCUAGUUGGGCAAAGAUUUUCAAGAGCUCUGCAGCAAUCAUUCAGGCUGUGAUGUUCCAAAAGGGGACUGCUUCUGGAAACCGAGUGGCAUAAUCUAGGACCACCAGGAUGUAUUGGAAUCCUAUGACACUCUUUGGGAGGGGCCCUAUGAGGUCCAGGGUGAUCCUUUCCAAUGGGGUGGCAACCACUGGCAAGGGAAUGAAAGGUUCCCUUGAUACUCCCCUUGGGGUUGCUCGUUGGCACUCAGGGAGGAGACACAGAAAUCUUUCACCUCCCUGUACACUCCAGGCCAGAAGACUCAGGCGAGGGCUCAUGCUGGAGUUUUUUCAUGACCCAGUUGCCCAGCCGCUGGAUCGUCAUGGGCAAGCCGCAAGACUGCACACUGGUGUCAUCGGAGUACCAUGAGCUGGGCUCGGGUUUCAUGUGUCCAAGAGUGAUCCAGUAAAGGCAGUCCUCAGUCAAUUUGAAAUUGGGGUAUACUGUUGCCCCGGAGGGGCUCCGGCAUGGUCCCAUUAACACAAGCCAGCUCUUAAUAGGCCGACUCAGUGAGGGAUCCUCCCAUUGGUCCCGGAUAAAGUCUACCCCCAAAUUCGGGGCCUCUUCUUGAGUGGAUUGCCCGGGGUCAACCUCUUCAUCCAGGGGGUCAGGGUCUCUGGUUCUGCGGUCCUUUUAGUCGGGGUUCUCAGGAUGGCCCAUUGCUCCAGGGGUCACUUGGCUGCCGAGGCGACCCUCUCAAAAAUGAUGAGGAAGGCUUCUGGAUCGUCCUCAGGGCCCAUUUUCGCCAAGCGCACCAGCACUGUGGUGUCAGCCGGGGCUGCUGCAUCCCUGGUGUUGGAGCCACCUGGGGUCGGCACAAGCGCCGCAAGCUACUGUAAGCACUGUUGCUGCUGCUCAGUUUUAGGCACACAGUUCUUGAAUCAGUUGCUGUUGCUGAUUCCCUAGUAGUUGCAGUAGUUGUUGCUGCUGGAGCUGUCCCACCUGCUGUUGCUGUUGGCUCUCAGCGAGCCAUUUGAUCAGUUUCUCAAUCUUCAUCCUUCCCAAACUGGGGGAGGGUGACAGAGUUCUGUCUAGUGCUGUCCUUGGCUUAUCCUCUUAUCUCAGGGGAGGGGAUGAUGCCCACAUUCUCCACCAAAUGCAGUGAUCAUUCGCUGUCCAGUGGGGAGAGAGACCACUCUGCAUUUUGUAUUGGGCGGUAACCCUCGGGCUUGUUCCAUAAUAUUAUUUCAAUAUUUUGCAAAUUUGUAUGGAUUCUCAAGUUUUCUAUGUAGUCUUAAGCAUGUUGCUAAAAUAUAUUAGUGAUCCCAUGCUCUCCAUGUUGUAAUUGCAAUGGGGGAGGUAGAAUAGUAGACAGAGAAUAGGAGAUAUGUUCAAAUGUGUAUGAUAACUCAGUUUAUCUCACAGAUAUUGCCAAUUAUAGGACACCUGUCUCAUGUAUGUUAUAAGGAUCCGUAUAAAACAUUGCUAACAUAUGGAAUCAGUGGAGCAAAUCAGUGCUGCCGCUAGGGGACACAGGUAGGAAUCCUAUCCCGGACAUGAGUUUAGCAAGGGAUUUACAACAGCUCACUUGAGGUGUUUUUUCUUUUUCUUUUUCUUUCAAAGCUGCUGCUUGUAGUCCAUGGCAGGAAGCAGCAGAGAGCAUCAGUCUGUCUCCUUCCUGCACCUGCUCCUCCACCCAAGGUCAGACAGGCCUGCAGGGUAUAGGCAAAUCUCCAGAGGCCCCAGCCAAGUGCAGCUUUAAAAACAAAACAAAUCUUCGAUGUGUUCUAAAUAAGAGCCUUGUCUGUGUACAACUGCUGAAGGGACAGGUCUCUUAGCUCUCCCUCCAGAGACUUCUUUACUUAAUUUAAAAGCUAGCAGCUGCCUCCCUUUGAUGAUGCUGGCACCAUUGGAAAACACCACGGGUGUGAAAGGUUUAUGAAAUACUGCCUGCCUCCAGUGGACCACUUCUGUUCCUACAAGAUGGGGGAGGCUUCCUCUGGGGUUUCCCAAGUGAGAUAGCAGUUUAGAAAAGGAUCAUAUAACUCUCCUACUUCCCAAGCUCAACUGUGAGGAGACGGGAGCAUCCUGCCUGUCUAGCUUAUAUAGCCAGCAUAGCAAAAGGGAGCAGAACUGGGAGCAGGUAAAUGUCCUACCCUUAGCCCAAGACCACAGACAGAGCUGCAUAGACACUAUGGCUGCCUUCAAGAAAUGAAACAAGAACAGAUCAGCUCCUUAACUAUAAAGCUGGAAGGAGGCAGCAGCAUAACAGCAGCUUGGCUAGGAAUAUGGGAUGAAAUUAUUGCCCCACUGAAGUCAAUGGGGAAAACCACACUGAUUUCAAUAAGGCAGGAUUCCCCCAAUGGUCUCUUCCUCCCAUUUUAUAACCAUUCAGGUUGUAAUUCCCAGGUGAAGAGGUGGAACAGAUGUAUCAGGAUAGAAAAAUCUGGCUAAAAAAGAAAACGAAUGGCAAAAAGUCAUGAGAUUUUCAGAAAAGAUAUUUUUUUGGAUUCUUUUUAUUUGCUUUCUGUCUUUUAAGCCUUUAGAGCGCAUAUUUCCAAGGUUUUCUUCUCGACUAAGAAUCUAGAAUCUUCCUUUUUAAAAAAAAUGAAAGUUGAGAUUCUCACAUCAUAACAUGAUUCCAGGAACUGGGGGAUUUAGACUCACAAUAACAUUGCAAGAGUUGGCUAUGAAAGUAUGGUACUAUUCAAGGGCCAGUUCCAGUUAAGUAAAUGAGGCUACUCAAAUGAGUAUGGGUUUAGGGAGGAUUGGACUCAAAAUGCUGUACAGUUCAAUGUAUUAACAAAAAUGUGUACUACUUUUUAAAAUGUAAAAUUUUAAAUUUUCUUCUAAACUUUUUUAAAAAGAAAUGUGCUUAAUCUUGGCCUCAUAUGUUGUUGCAAAUAAAAAUCGUCUACAUGUGUAGUAUCCAGUUUGACUACAAAGGGUAGAAUGCAUUUGCAUAAUAGAAAGUAGGCGUAAGUCUAUAGAGUUUUAAUUAAUUAGUACUGUGCAUUGAUUUUAGGUCUUAAAAAUGCAGAGGACUUUUUAAAAAAAAUCCUUUGUAUGGAGACUAAUUAUAAUAGAAAAAUCUCCAGUUACAUUAAGAUUCUAUUAGUUUAAUUCAUUUCAGACCCUACAUUAUUUUAUUGCAAAUUUGUUUUAAAAUAUUCGUCAGACCUUUGAGGGGCUUGAGCUGUUCUUAAAUGGGCUCAUUUUCACAAGGUAGCAUUGCUAUCUAGUGAACUACUGUAUGCUGUAAUGCCCUCUGCUGGUAGUAAGCUGGUAAAAUCUUCUUCGCUCUUAGAGGGUGUGGAAAUGUGUUAAAUAUUGAGAUGUGAGAGUAAAAGCAACACUAACUUUCAGCAAUAUACUAAUCACUGACAUUAUGCUAUAAAUCGGGAACAAAACCAGCAGACUUGUUUCCAAAAAAAUGAUGUGCCAUAAAUGGCAUCCAUUUUCCAUAAACUCUGCAACACCUUCAAAAUUCAUUAACCAAAGUAUUUCAAACUUAUUUACAGGGCUAAAGAGCUGGAAUAUUUUGGGUAUUAACUGAUACCAUCCAUUUACUUCAAGCUAACACUCUCUGCAUCAACAAAUCAAAACUUCACGAAAACUUUACUAGGAUGAUCGUAUUAGACUCCAGUAUUUCAGCAGGAAUUGCAAUGGUCAUUGAAACCAAGUGGUUCAAUAAUUUGCUUGCAUUUUCCCCACCCUACUUGUGUACAGAAUUCACUUACAAACAAACACAAUUGUGCUCAUCUGAAGCCAUUAUUAUAGUAAAACUAUUGUAUAAGUGCACCAUGACUAACUGUAUAUGAUACUCCUGGUCAGUGAUUAGAAACUUUCAUAAAAAUAAGAGUGAUACACUAUGCAAUUGAACAAGCACAUAUUGAAGAAACCAGAUUAAAUCAUUGUAUGAUAUGAAUACUUUAAAA